rnacentral:lncRNA from 1 species
UCAGAGGAGGGAUGUUUGAUUGGGAGACAAAUGUUUUUAGUUAUCACCUCUUCUCGGACAAAGUGGCAAUCGACCUCCACAUGUUUUGUGCGCUCAUGAAACACUGGGUUUGUUGCGAUAUGAAUGGCGGCUUUGCUAUCGCAGCGAACAUUCAUCGGUUGAUUGUGUUUGACUCCGAGCGCUGAAAGAAUUGUUUUUAACCAAAUCAAUUCUUGAGUCAAAUAUGCCAAUGCUCGGUAUUCUGCUUCUUCCGAGGAUCUACUCACUGUCUUUUGCUUUUUCGUCUUCCAUGAGAUAGGUGACCCUCCCAGCUAUAUGAAGUAUCCAGUUACGGAUUUUCUUGAUAGCCUGCAGCUUGCGUAGUCACUAUCACACCAUCCGGACAAUUGAAAAGGUGUGUCUGCUCGUAACAAUAUCCCCUGACCAGGAUUGUUUUUCAAAUAUCGAACCACCCGCAAGGCUGCUCCCCAAUGAUCUUCUCUCGGCUUUUGCAUAAACAGAGCAAGAAAGUGAAAAGAGAACGCUAAAUCGGGUCGAGUCACAGCCAAGUAUAUCAAUCUACCCACCAAUCUUCUAUAAGGUUCAGGGUUGUUUAAAAACGCGGACUUCGACAAUGACAAGUCAUUGUUUGUUUCCAAAGGAAACGCUACAGGUUUCGCACCAAGUAGUCCAACAUCUGAGAUAAUGUCCAAUGCGUACUUUCUUUAACAAAGAUACAUACCGGUAGAGUUUCUUGCUACUUCAAUUCCCAGGAAGUAUUUUAAUUGGCCUAAGUCCUUCAUGUGAAAGCACGACAACAAGUAAUCUUUAAAAUCAUUCAUGACCUUAAGUGAGAUCGUCGACAUACACUAAAACGUGAAGUGACUCUCCAUUUGCAUCCUUGGUGAACAAUGAAUAAUCAGAGAGAUUUUGCUCAAAUUCAAAUUUUUUAACGCCGUAGACAAUUUGGCAAACCAGGACCUCGGACUCUGCUUCAAUCCAUAAAUAGACUUUCGAAGUCUGCAUACCUUGUUCGGAUCGGUUGCUUUAAACCCUGAUGGUAGCUUCAUAUAAAUUUCUUCUUCAAGGUCGCCGUGAAGAAACACAUUGUAGACGUCCUUCUGGUGAACAUCCCACUUGUUCUUAACUGCCGUAUCUAAGAACAAUCUCACGGUUCCCAUUUUAGCUACCGGCGCAAAAGUUUAUCCAUAGUCUACUCCUUCAACUUGUUUGUUUCCAAGAGCAACCAGUUUGGCUUUAUGUCUCUCCAAGGUGCCAUCAGACUUGUAUUUGAUCUUGUAAACCCAUUUACAUCCUAUUGCCUUUUUCCCUUUAGGCAAAUCCUCUAUGGUCAACGAAUGAUUUCUUUCCUGAGAAUCAAUUUAUGAACCCAUUGCCCCUUUCAAUCUAUCGUCUUCCAUUGCCUUUUUAAACGAUUUUGCCUCUACGCCCUGAGUAAUUGCAACCAUGUAUGCUUUAUGUGACUCAGAGAAACGCUCACAGUCAACGUAAUUGGCAAUCAGAUACUCAGAUGUGGACUUGUUCUUCUUUGUUUUUGGAUUUCCAGUCUCAAUCACGAAUUCCUUCAAUUUUACUGAAUGUGUUCUCUGCCUCUUUCCUCGACCCAAUUGUUCAGUAGGAAACGAUUUCUUUGUUUGUACUUGCGGUGAUGUUAAUGGUGGAGGUCGUGACGUCGUCGAUCGUGGAAUCUCUGAGGAAGAAGAUGAUGGCAAGUUACGAAGAGGAACGUGACG